rnacentral:rRNA from 1 species
UACGAAGGGUGCAAACGUUGCUCGAAUCAUUGGGGGUUAAGCGCCCGUAGGCGGCUUGCCAAGGCGGACGUGAAAUCCCUCAGCUCAACUGAGGACGUGCAUCCGAAACUGGCGAGCUUGAGUACUGAAGAGGAUCGCGGAAUUCCCGGUGUAGAGGUGAAAUUCGUAGAUAUCGGGAGGAACACCAGUGGCGAAGGCGGCGAUCUGGGCAGAUACUGACGCUGAGGUGCGAAAGCGUGGGGAGCAAACAGG